rnacentral:misc_RNA from 1 species
UAACCACUCAAGCCUAGCUUGGUAUUGGGGUUCGCGGUCUCGCGGCUCCUAAAUCAGUGGCGGGUGCCGUCUGGCUCUAAGCGUAGUAAUUUUCUCGCUAUGGAGUCCGGGUGGUUGCUUGCUAAAAACCCUAACUUCUCAC